rnacentral:piRNA from 1 species
UGAUUUUCCUGGUUUAAUAGCUGUGUAC